rnacentral:rRNA from 1 species
GACGAACGCUGGCGGCGCGCUUAACACAUGCAAGUCGAGCGGAGCGGCGAACGGGUGAGUAACGCGUGAGUAACUGCCCCCCUCUCUGGGAUAACAGUUGAAAACGGCUGCUAAUACCGGAUAGUGGGGGAUGACUCGCGUCCGAUCAGCUUGUUGGGGGGGUAGUGGCCUACCAAGGCGACGACGGGUAGCCGGCCUGAGAGGGCGACCGGCCACAUUGGGCUGAGAUACGGACCAAACGCCGACGGGAGGCAGCAGUGGGGAAUAUUGCUCAAUGGGGCAACCUCUGAUGCAGCAACGCCGCGUGCGUGAUGUCGGCCUUCCGGUUGUAAACCGCUUUCAGCUAUUACGCGGUAGUGGCAGAAGAAGCGCCGGCUAACUACGUGCCAGCCGCCGCGGUAAUUC